GAUUGAGAUUGUGAAUAUGACACCGCACGGCUCUGACUGUGGAUCUCAGAAUACGGCAAGAGCAGCUGUCUGUGCAACGUUGAACAUAUCGGAGAUACAUACCUGACGUGUGAUAUUUCCCUAUGCAGAACAGGCUGAUUGUAUAUUAAUGCACAGUGAUCUUCCAGUAUGGAUGAACAAGUCAU